rnacentral:rRNA from 1 species
AGCGAACGCUGGCGGCAGGCUUAACACAUGCAAGUCGAGCGGGCACUUUCGGGUGUCAGCGGCGGACGGGUGAGUAACGCGUGGGAACGUGCCCUCUGGUUCGGAAUAACUCAGGGAAACUUGAGCUAAUACCGGAUACGCCCUUUUGGGGAAAGGCUUGCUGCCGGAGGAUCGGCCCGCGUCUGAUUAGCUAGUUGGUGAGGUAACGGCUCACCAAGGCGACGAUCAGUAGCUGGUCUGAGAGGAUGAUCCGCCACACUGGGACUGAGACACGGCCCAGACUCCUACGGGAGGCAGCAGUGGGGAAUAUUGGACAAUGGGCGCAAGCCUGAUCCAGCCAUGCCGCGUGAGUGAUGAAGGCCUUAGGGUUGUAAAGCUCUUUUAUCCGGGACGAUAAUGACGGUACCGGAGGAAUAAGCCCCGGCUAACUUCGUG